AACGAACGCUGGCGGCAUGCCUAACACAUGCAAGUCGAACGAAGGCUUCGGCCUUAGUGGCGCACGGGUGCGUAACGCGUGGGAAUCUGCCCUUUGCUUCGGAAUAACAGUUUGAAAUGACUGCUAAUACCGGAUGAUGUCGCAAGACCAAAGAUUUAUCGGCAAAGGAUGAGCCCGCGUAGGAUUAGCUAGUUGGUGGGGUAAAGGCCUACCAAGGCGACGAUCCUUAGCUGGUCUGAGAGGAUGAUCAGCCACACUGGGACUGAGACACGGCCCAGACUCCUACGGGAAGCAGCAGUGGGGAAUAUUGGACAAUGGGCGAAAGCCUGAUCCAGCAAUGCCGCGUGAGUGAUGAAGGCCUUAGGGUUGUAAAGCUCUUUUACCCGGGAUGAUAAUGACAGUACCGGGAGAAUAAGCUCCGGCUAACUCCGUG
rnacentral:rRNA from 1 species